CUCUCUUCCUCGUUCUCUCAAUAUGAAGCGCAGACACCAGCCCUCAAUUGUUUGAGAGAGGCUUAAUUUCUGGGAGUCUUCUUCUCCAUUAUUUCAAGCAGGCUCUUCUCAAGUCACUUCGAAAUUUAGUAAAUCUGCUAUCAUCAACGACUAAACGAAUCAAAAUAAGAAUGUAGAGGGCAUGAGUUCACGUGCUUUUACUCCACAAGUUUUUGUAUCUUAUAUUAUUUGUUCAAUAUAAAUUCAGAUUAUAUCAUACUAGUUUUAAAAAUAUUUUUAUUUUACUGCGAAUUUGUAGUCCCAACAAGGAAGUAGUAUGGAGGGAGGUAUUGUACCAAUGGAAAAUGGAAAGUGUCAACUAUUGCAUUGGUACAUGUUUGAGGAGGAAAUUGUAGGCGAAGGGAAGAUUGCAUCAAUAGACCCAAGUGCAAAGGUGCAUCACGUGCCACUAGGACGAGAUUGUUGGAAGGUUUGGGUUGACGAGGUGUACAUGAGUCAUUUGCCCUUAUAGACCAACGGAUGAAUUUCGAGUUCUUAGUGACGCCAUAGAAAGUACUGUUGCUUGGCCAAAGAGCUGUGUUAGACUUAUUUGAUGAAGUUACAUGGAGCUAAAGUGAGUUCAAUCUCUUUUGUGCUUGUGUCUUCUUGGAUCUCGUCUACGUAAAAAGAUUGGGUUGGGACUCGUUUGAAGCUUCGGUUAUAAAUCGUUUACAUAACUUUUGGACACUUUUCAUAGUUCUUUGGUUAGACGGUGUAUAUUUUUGAAUUGGAGU